rnacentral:rRNA from 1 species
AACGUAGGACACAAGCGUUAUCCGGAGUUACUGGGCGUAAAGGGCGUGCAGGCGGUUUCUUAAGUCAGGCGUGAAACCAUUCGGCUAAACCGGGUGUAGUCGUCUGAGACUGGGAGACUAGAGUGUGGUAGAGGCGUGUAGAAUUCCGGGUGUAGUGGUGAAAUGCGUAGAUAUCGGGAGGAACACCCGUGGCGAAGGCGGCUUCCUGGGCCACCACUGACGCUGAGACGCGAAAGCGUGGGGAGCGAACGGG